rnacentral:rRNA from 1 species
AGAGUUUGAUCCUGGCUCGAGGACGAACGCUGGCGGCGUGCCUAACACAUGCAAGUCGAGCGGAGACAUUUGGAAAGCUUGCUUUUUGGAUGUUUCAGCGGCGGACGGGUGAGUAACGCGUGAGCAACCUGCCUUUAACAGGGGAAUAACGCAUCGAAAGAUGUGCUAAUACCGCAUAAGACCACAACACUACAUGGUAAAGGGGUCAAAGGAGCAAUCCGGUUAAAGAUGGGCUCGCGUCCGAUUAGCUAGUUGGUGAGACAACAGCCCACCAAGGCGACGAUCGGUAGCCGACCUGAGAGGGUGAUCGGCCACAUUGGAACUGAGAUACGGUCCAGACUCC